GACAGAGGGUGCAAACGUUGUUCGGAAUUACUGGGCGUAAAGCGCGUGUAGGUGGCGAGGCAAGUCGGGUGUGAAAGCCCUGGGCUCAACCCAGGAAGUGCACUCGAUACUGCCUAGCUAGAGUCCCGGAGAGGUUGGUGGAACUCUCGGUGUAGAGGUGAAAUUCGUAGAUAUCGAGAAGAACACCGGUGGCGAAGGCGGCCAACUGGACGGUGACUGACGCUGAGACGCGAAAGCGUGGGGAGCAAACAGG
rnacentral:rRNA from 1 species